CUCUACCGUAUCGGUCAAUAUGACCGAUAGCGCGUAAAAACAGGGCUACGCAAAAGGAGUGUCUAUAAAUCUUUGAAACUACGGACGUAAUAUAUAUGUUUUAUAUAUCAUAUUUUUGGAAAUUUUCUAUAUUUUUUAACUAUGUAAAAAUCAAUUGAAUAAAUAAAGCCAUUAAAUUAAAAAAAGCAUUUAAAAUGAAAGAUGACUUCGUCUAAAUAUUACGCAACGCUUUGUCGCAAGGCCAUUUCCCCCCUCGCUAUGAUUUUUUUUAUUUUCCCUAUGAAUGCAAUAUUUUUUUUAUAUUUUUGAGAAGCAUAUAUUCCCUGCUUUCAGUACAUAUAAAAAAUAUUUUUAAUGCCUGCCAAAGUUAUAAGAAAAUAGCAAUUUUUGCACAUAUACGUUGUUUUACGAUUUUAUUUCUCAAUGUUUAAACAGAUCGGCGUUUUAUCUAUAUUUAUAUAUGGAAAUAGGGAAAAGUAAAUACAUUCUGUAAAAGUAGAGGAAAUGUUCUUUUUGAUGGACCCUUAUUCAUAUUAUAAUUCUCGGUAGUUUUUAUAUUACGAUAAAAUGAAAUUGGGACAUGCUGCGCGGUUUUCUUAAAAAUUAGCGACAAAUCGACGUCGCUAACAGCAAUCGACGCGCGUCGCACAAUAAAGUGGUGAAAACUAUUUGUAUUGUUCUUUUUUUUUUUUAGUAAAUUCAGUACCUGUUGAUACACUAAAACAACAUACAUACAUGUAUGAAAUAAUCAGCCUGGUAUCUCUGCUUUUAAAAAAAAAAAGAAAAAAAAAAGCAUAAAACCAAUAUUGGUUUAUAACAGUUACACAACCUACAUGUAACUUCAUAAAUGCUACAUCGGCAGAUUGAAUUUAAAAAAGAUUAAUAAAGUACUUCAAAUUCAAAUAUAAACGUUAUAUUUGUUCGGAAUAGUAAUAAUUUUUUUCUCUGCCAAAGAAAGAAAACAAAAAAGAAGUUCGCCUAUAUAUAGCCUGUAUACUUUUAUUUUUCCGUGAUCCGGAUCGCGGGCCUCGCAAGGUUUUCUGAAAGUGUGCACGGAGAACACACGUGUUUCCGUUUCAACGAAAACAAACAAACACAGCUUCACCGUGACUGUCACAGCGAACGCUUGUAUUUUACAUCUUUAAAACGACCUGAUGUCAGAAGAAGAAGAUGCCCUGGAUCCCCUGUUGCAGGAUGACCCAAACGAUCAUGCAUUCAGUAUAAAUACGUACAUGGUAUUGACAUCCCAAUAUUUAGUGGGAAGUUUCCAGGUAUCAUCCGCUAGCGACAGUCUACUGACAAAUCCAGACAUGCAUUGGAAGGAUGCUGAUGUGGAGGACACAGGAACACCUGAUCCCAGAACUGUGGCAUUUCAUUCGGGGUGACAACCUGGCUUUCAGUUGGUAUGACUCUUUGAGGUUGAAUAUAGGGUUUAAUCAGUAUAAAUGUGAUUAACAUUCAAAUAAAUCCAGAUAAUACAUUCACAAUUGGAAUCAUGGCAUUAUGGUACACUGAUAUGUGUGUACCAUUUUACUGGGUUUUUUGUUUUUUUUGGGUUUUUUGCUGCAUAACUAGGGAUCGUAUACAUACAAAAUGAGACAAUUUCUAAUUAGUUUCUAAUUAUAAGGUAUGACACGUUUUAAGGUAUGGUGGCCAAUACUGAUUUUAUUUUUAUUUGCAAUUUUCUUUCAGGUAUGGGACUCUAUUAUUCGGAAAACUGCAGAUUUUAUGAAGCUGUCUUUGACAGAAGAUUUGGUUUUCUCCAUCUGUGUUGCCACCAACCAUUAUGCUGAGAUAGUCAUAACUAGGGGGAAGGGUUGCCAUAUACUUCCCAAGGAAGUUUGCAGCCUCUCACUGAAGAGGAACUGUACAGAUUUUUGUGCAUUAUCUUAUACACGCCUGCUGUGAAGUUCCAGUCGAUAGACAGAUAUUGGUCAACGCAUGCCCCUGUCGGAACAACUCGUUAUCAAGAAUUAUGUCUAGAAAUAGGUUUCAAGAGGUUGAAUAUAAGAACAUUUUUGUUAAAUAUGAUGCAAGUACAUUUAAAUCUAGUGAUUGAAAGUAAGUACUUGAACAUUCGUUUAUGUUGAACUUGGAGAGGAAAAAUGGUUAGUACUUUUUGAUAACAUUUGAUAAGGUGUUGUUGCUUAGCAACCAAAUAUAAUUGAAUAAAAAUAGAUUAUUUUAGAUUAACAAUAAUUGAAAGAUCUUUGUUUUAAUGUUGCAAUACUUAUUAUAUUUAAUGGAACAUAAUGGCAAAACGUCAUAUUAUUAGAAAAUGAUGGACAAGUAUAUAAAGUACGAAGUUUCCAUUUGAUGACCUUUGAUCUUAAUUCUUUUGAUUAUAUUUUUUGUUAAAAACCUUUUAAAAUGAUUAAGAUCUAUUUAAAGAUUAUAUUUUUAAAAUAAUGUGACAUUUACUAAUCAUCACGGAUUGUAAUUACGUUUAAAUUGUGUCGAAUGGAUGCAGAAAGGCAAAUUAUGGUCAAAAUUGUACUAUGAGUGUUGUUACUUAGCAACCAAAAAUAUUUGUUUGUCAAUAAAAUUGAUUAGUUUGA